AGUAUUGAAUGCCGAAGACAGCAGGUGCCGUAAGGCUUAAGGUGAUAACGCCUGCCGAGGACAUGUACAAGAUUCACUUUUGUGAUUUGUAAAGUCUCUCUGUCUUGGACAGAGAGACUUUUUUA
rnacentral:sRNA from 1 species